UACUGUAUUAAAAUGGGUCCUACAUUUCUAUAAUGGACACAAUGUCCCCCAUUUCCACUUUCAUUUAAAUACAGAACCAUGUUAACAAUAUGUUGACUAUUCUAUAUGGAAUGUUUAUAAUAUCUCAGAAUGUGUUUUGCCUUGUCCCUCUGAGUUCUACAUGGAACAGGUCAAAGUUCCAUUUACAUUUGGUCAGUUCCAUGAUGUCAUUCAUUCUAUUCUACAAACCCAUUUAAUGUACACUCCUCAUCAGCUGCAUCAAAGACCCUGCACUGACCCCCUUUAGUGUCUACAACAUGGUUGUUGUAGAGGCGUUGGCCUGGGCAACAACCCCCUCAAGAUUCUAAUGAUGACAUCAUCUCCAUCAUCUAACAUCAAUGAUCAAACAUGUUUCACAGCUCAGGCCGAGGGGGCGGGGGAAGGAAAUCAGAGGAGCACUCCUCUUCACUUUGAUUGACACUUACUCCUACUGUGUGUCCAGUGUGCUGUCUUGACUGUGUGUCAGAGGACUACAAAAGCGGUGACACCCCCCAACAGCCCCAUUCUAUCCAAGCUUCCUGUUCCCUAUUAAGGCUUGUGUUUGAAGCGACACUUGUCACCAUAGAAACAGCCGGUGGUCCUCCAGAAGAAACACUCAUCACCAUUGAUGGGAGCCAUCCUCCUGGUCCUGGGAGAGAGAGAGACAAACAACAGAUGGAUGUCCUUACCCUGUGGAGGCGUACUUGGAGGCUGAGGAGGUGUUGAGGCCUAUAGGGUUGGUCCUCUGAGGAGAGGGAGGGGUUCUCUGCAUCUAGCUGUCUGGGUACCUGAUCACCAGCCUGGUGCUCUCCAGCUCCACCCCCUGGACCGGAGGACAAACAGCAGGCACAGUCCAAAUACAUGCAAUGGGACCAAUAGCAUAGUCCCACAAGUAAAAUGGAACCAAUAACAAAGCUUGUUUUUCCUUUGCUGCCAGAAAGGAGUUGAAUCGUUGUACUUUUCUCUCUGUGUUGAACGAUGGUGAUACUAUUUAAAGCUCUAAACUGAAGCUCUAAACUGAA